rnacentral:rRNA from 1 species
GUGGGGAAUCUUGCGCAAUGGGCGAAAGCCUGACGCAGCCAUGCCGCGUGGAUGAUGAAGGUCUUAGGAUUGUAAAAUCCUUUCACCGGUGAAGAUAAUGACUGUUGCCGGAGAAGAAGCCCCGGCUAACUUCGUGCCAGCAGCCGCGGUAAUACGAAGGGGGCUAGCGUUGCUCGGAUUUACUGGGCGUAAAGGGCGCGUAGGCGGACAUUUAAGUCAGGGGUGAAAUCCCGGGGCUCAACCUCGGAACUGCCUUUGAUACUGGGUGUCUUGAGUAUGAGAGAGGUGUGUGGAACUCCGAGUGUAGAGGUGAAAUUCGUAGAUAUUCGGAAGAACACCAGUGGCGAAGGCGACUCACUGGCCCAAUACUGACGCUGAGGCGCGAAAGCGUGGGGAGCAAACAGGAUUAGAAACCCCGGUAGUCC